rnacentral:rRNA from 1 species
GACGAACGCUGGCGGCGUGCCUAAUACAUGCAAGUAGAACGCUGAAGGAGGAGCUUGCUUCUCCGGAUGAGUUGCGAACGGGUGAGUAACGCGUAGGUAACCUGCCUGGUAGCGGGGGAUAACUAUUGGAAACGAUAGCUAAUACCGCAUAAGAGUAGAUGUCGCAUGACAUUUGCUUAAAAGGUGCACCUGCACCACUACCAGAUGGACCUGCGUUGUAUUAGCCAGUUGGUGGGGUAACGGCUCACCAAGGCAACGAUACAUAGCCGACCUGAGAGGGUGAUCGGCCACACUGGGACUGAGACACGGCCCAGACUCCUACGGGAGGCAGCAGUAGGGAAUCUUCGGCAAUGGACGGAAGUCUGACCGAGCAACGCCGCGGGAGUGAAGAAGGGUUUCGGAUCGUAAAGCUCGGUUGUAAGAGAAGAACGAGUGUGAGAGUGGAAAGUUCACACUGUGACGGUAUCUUACCAGAAAGGGACGGCUAACUACGUG